rnacentral:rRNA from 1 species
UAUGUGAUCGUCUCUCGCAUAUCAAUAAGCGGAGGAAAAGAAACUAACAAGGAUUCCCCUAGUAACGGCGAGUGAAGCGGGAAGAGCUCAAAUUUGAAAUCUUAAAGGGUUUCCCUUUACGAAUUGUAGUUUAAAGAAGUGUUUUCUGUUGAGGUUUUGGUAAAAGUUCUUUGGAAUAGGACAUCAUAGAGGGUGAGAAUCCCGUAUUUGACCUUUACUUUCAACUUUGUGAUACGCUUUCAAAGAGUCGGAUUGUUUGGGAAUGCAGUCCAAAAUGGGUGGUAAAUUUCAUCUAAAGCUAAAUAUUGGCGAGAGACCGAUAGCGAACAAGUACCGUGAGGGAAAGAUGAAAAGAACUUUGAAAAGAGAGUUAAACAGUACGUGAAAUUGUCAAAAGGGAAGCGUUUGACACCAGUGUCGUUUUCCUGAAAAUCAAUUAAAGAACUGUUUAUGCUAAGCUGUUUAGACUUUAUCAGCUAUCUGUUUAGUUUUGAGCUUUUCUUUAAUGCACUUUUCAGUUAACAAGUCAACAUCAAUUUCUUUUGCUGUAAAAAAGCUUGAGGAAGGUGGCUUGAGAUUCGUCUUAAGUGUUUAUAGCCUCUUGCCUAUGCAGUCGGAGAGAUUGAGGUCUGCAGCGUAGAUCCUUCGGGGCUAAAUGCAUUUGUGCUAAGUUAUAGCAUUUUAUAGACAACUUGUUGACUAUGAUUUGUCUUGUAGCUUACUCGCUUAUGUUAUUUUACCUACGCUUAGGAUGUUGAGCGCAUGUCUCCUCU